rnacentral:rRNA from 1 species
CAGCCGCCACGGGAAUACGUAGGUGGCAAGCGUUGUCCGGAAUUAUUGGGCGUAAAGGGCUCGCAGGCGGUUUCUUAAGUCUGAUGUGAAAGCCCCCGGCUCAACCGGGGAGGGUCAUUGGAAACUGGGAAACUUGAGUGCAGAAGAGGAGAGUGGAAUUCCACGUGUAGCGGUGAAAUGCGUAGAGAUGUGGAGGAACACCAGUGGCGAAGGCGACUCUCUGGUCUGUAACUGACGCUGAGGAGCGAAAGCGUGGGGAGCGAACAGAAUUAGAGACCCCAGUAGUCCCUGUCUCUUAUAC